CUUAGGGGAAGAGCGAGACAGGCGGCCGCCGUCCUGUUCACCUACCUGACUGCCACACAAUGGAUCUCUAAUACUCCUCACAGACUCCCCCCCUUCCUUUGGACUGGAGGGGGUUAUCCCGAUUCCAGCAGGACCGGUCCGGGGCUGAUGUCGGUGAGAUUGGCUGAGACUGCCCCCAAUGUCCUGGAACUAAGAUGGCCCCCGCAGUGAUUCCCACUGGAUCGGCCCCACCACUCAGCCCACAGAGAGGAGACGGCUUGACACACUCCAAGCUAUACCUCAGGCCAAGAGGUCUCGCUACCGAGCCAAUAUAUCCUGGAGAGUCUGUGAGAGUCUGUG